rnacentral:rRNA from 1 species
GAUGAACGCUGGCGGCGUGCCUAAUACAUGCAAGUCGAGCGAACGGACGAGAAGCUUGCUUCUCUGAUGUUAGCGGCGGACGGGUGAGUAACACGUGGAUAACCUACCUAUAAGACUGGGAUAACUUCGGGAAACCGGAGCUAAUACCGGAUAAUAUUUUGAACCGCAUGGUUCAAAAGUGAAAGACGGUCUUGCUGUCACUUAUGGAUGGAUCCGCGCUGCAUUAGCUAGUUGGUAAGGUAACGGCUUACCAAGGCAACGAUGCAUAGCCGACCUGAGAGGGUGAUCGGCCACACUGGAACUGAGACACGGUCCAGACUCCUACGGGAGGCAGCAGUAGGGAAUCUUCCGCAAUGGGCGAAAGCCUGACGGAGCAACGCCGCGUGAGUGAUGAAGGUCUUCGGAUCGUAAAACUCUGUUAUUAGGGAAGAACAUAUGUGUAAGUAACUGUGCACAUCUUGACGGUACCUAAUCAGAAAGCCACGGCUAACUACGUGCCAGCAGCCGCGGUAAUACGUAGGUGGCAAGCGUUAUCCGGAAUUAUUGGGCGUAGAGCGCGCGUAGGCGGUUUUUUAAGUCUGAUGUGAAAGCCCACGGCUCAACCGUGGAGGGUCAUUGGAAACUGGAAAACUUGAGUGCAGAAGAGGAAAGUGGAAUUCCAUGUGUAGCGGUGAAAUGCGCAGAGAUAUGGAGGAACACCAGUGGCGAAGGCGACUUUCUGGUCUGUAACUGACGCUGAUGUGCGAAAGCGUGGGGAUCAAACAGGAUUAGAUACCCUGGUAGUCCACGCCGUAAACGAUGAGUGCUAAGUGUUAGGGGGUUUCCGCCCCUUAGUGCUGCAGCUAACGCAUUAAGCACUCCGCCUGGGGAGUACGACCGCAAGGUUGAAACUCAAAGGAAUUGACGGGGACCCGCACAAGCGGUGGAGCAUGUGGUUUAAUUCGAAGCAACGCGAAGAACCUUACCAAAUCUUGACAUCCUUUGACAACUCUAGAGAUAGAGCCUUCCCCUUCGGGGGACAAAGUGACAGGUGGUGCAUGGUUGUCGUCAGCUCGUGUCGUGAGAUGUUGGGUUAAGUCCCGCAACGAGCGCAACCCUUAAGCUUAGUUGCCAUCAUUAAGUUGGGCACUCUAAGUUGACUGCCGGUGACAAACCGGAGGAAGGUGGGGAUGACGUCAAAUCAUCAUGCCCCUUAUGAUUUGGGCUACACACGUGCUACAAUGGACAAUACAAAGGGCAGCGAAACCGCGAGGUCAAGCAAAUCCCAUAAAGUUGUUCUCAGUUCGGAUUGUAGUCUGCAACUCGACUACAUGAAGCUGGAAUCGCUAGUAAUCGUAGAUCAGCAUGCUACGGUGAAUACGUUCCCGGGUCU